GGGCGAGUGGCGGAAUGGCAGACGCGCUGGCUUCAGGUGCCAGUGGUCCUUCGGGACGUGGGGGUUCAAGCCCCCCUUCGCCCACC
rnacentral:tRNA from 1 species